UUUUAGGGUUUUGAUGAGUACAUGAACCUGGUUCUGGAUGAUGCUGAGGAGGUCCACAUGAAGACUAAGAACAGGAAGCCGCUGGGGAGGAUCAUGUUGAAAGGAGACAACAUCACCUUACUGCAAAGUGUGACCGUCUAGGAAAACGGAGAGGCCUACACAUCGUACCUUUCGAUAUAAAUGUUUUUCUUUUGCAAAUGGUGUUGAAUAUGUUUGUGUUUAACAUGAAUAUUGUGUUAGUUUCUGUCUACAAAAUGGUUUUGCGAAUAAACUUUUUCUUUUCUUA